ACGUAGGCAGCAAGCGUUGUUCGGAGUUACUGGGCGUAAAGGGUGUGUAGGCGGUCGUCUAAGUUUGGUGUGAAAUCUCCCGGCUUAACUGGGAGGGUGCGCCGAAUACUGAGCGACUAGAGUACGGGAGAGGAAAGUGGAAUUCCUGGUGUAGCGGUGAAAUGCGUAGAUAUCAGGAGGAACACCGGCGGUGUAGACGGCUUUCUGGACCGUAACUGACGCUGAGACACGAAAGCGUGGGUAGCAAACAG
rnacentral:rRNA from 1 species